GCGUAACGCGUAUACAAUCUACCUUUUACAGGGGGAUAGCCCAGAGAAAUUUGGAUUAAUACCCCAUGGCAUAUAUUUAUGGCAUCAUAUAUAUAUUAAAGAUUCAUCGGUAAGAGAUGAGUAUGCGUUCUAUUAGCUAGUUGGUGCGGUAACGGCGCACCAAGGCUACGAUAGAUAGGGGCCCUGAGAGGGGGGUCCCCCACACUGGUACUGAGACACGGACCAG
rnacentral:rRNA from 1 species